rnacentral:tRNA from 1 species
GUUAUUGUGGUGUAGUGGUUAUCACGUCAGUCUUACACACUGAAGGUUUCCAGUUCAAUCUUGGACAUCAAUA